UAAUCACAAACAACAACAAUAAUUAUCCAUUUCAAACUUCAAAUAAAAAAGUUAAAAAAGAAACAAAAAUUAAAAAGAAGGAAAAAAAAAUGAAAAGAUCAAAGCAUGAUCAAACACAUAGAAAUUCAGAUUCUUCAUUUUUGGUAACGUUACACACAACCUCUCAUAAUAACUAUCUUAAGUUAACGAUUUUUUUUUUUUUAAUCACAAACAACAACAAUAAUUUCCAUUUCAAACUUCAAAUAAAAAAAAAAAAGAAACAAAAAUUAAAAAGAAGAAAAAAAAAUGAAAAGAUC